UACGAAGGGGGCUAGCGUUGCUCGGAAUCACUGGGCGUAAAGCGCACGUAGGCGGCUUUCUAAGUCAGGGGUGAAAUCCUGGAGCUCAACUCCAGAACUGCCUUUGAUACUGGAGAGCUCGAGUCCGGAAGAGGUGAGUGGAACUCCGAGUGUAGAGGUGAAAUUCGUAGAUAUCAGGAGGAACACCGGUGGCGAAGGCGGCUACCUGGACAGAAACUGACGCUGAGGCGCGAAAGCUAGGGGAGCAAACAGG
rnacentral:rRNA from 1 species